GGACCAUAGGUCAGGGGUAGAGCAACGGCUUCGCAUGCAGAAGGUUCCAGGUUCAAUCCCUGGCAUCUCUU